rnacentral:rRNA from 1 species
ACACAUGCAAGUCGAGCGGAAACGAGUUGUCUGAACCUUCGGGGAACGAUAACGGCGUCGAGCGGCGGACGGGUGAGUAAUGCCUAGGAAAUUGCCUUGAUGUGGGGGAUAACCAUUGGAAACGAUGGCUAAUACCGCAUAAUGCCUACGGGCCAAAGAGGGGGACCUUCGGGCCUCUCGCGUCAAGAUAUGCCUAGGUGGGAUUAGCUAGUUGGUGAGGUAAUGGCUCACCAAGGCGACGAUCCCUAGCUGGUCUGAGAGGAUGAUCAGCCACACUGGAACUGAGACACGGUCCAGACUCCUACGGGAGGCAGCAGUGGGGAAUAUUGCACAAUGGGCGAAAGCCUGAUGCAGCCAUGCCGCGUGUGUGAAGAAGGCCUUCGGGUUGUAAAGCACUUUCAGUUGUGAGGAAAAGUUAGUAGUUAAUACCUGCUAGCCGUGACGUUAACAACAGAAGAAGCACCGGCUAACUCCGUGCCAGCAGCCGCGGUAAUACGGAGGGUGCGAGCGUUAAUCGGAAUUACUGGGCGUAAAGCGCACGCAGGCGGCUUGUUAAGCUAGAGGUGAAAGCCCCGCGCUCAACGUGGGAACUGCCUUUAGAACUGGCAGGCUAGAGUCUUGGAGAGGGGAGUGGAAUUCCAGGUGUAGCGGUGAAAUGCGUAGAUAUCUGGAGGAACAUCAGUGGCGAAGGCGGCUCCCUGGCCAAAGACUGACGCUCAUGUGCGAAAGUGUGGGUAGCGAACAGGAUUAGAUACCCUGGUAGUCCACACCGUAAACGCUGUCUACUAGCUGUUUGUGUAUUUAAUACGUGAGUAGCGAAGCUAACGCGCUAAGUAGACCGCCUGGGGAGUACGGCCGCAAGGUUAAAACUCAAAUGAAUUGACGGGGGCCCGCACAAGCGGUGGAGCAUGUGUUUAAUUCGAUGCAACGCGAGAACCUUACCUAAUCGUCGACCUGCAGCAUGCAGCUGCACUGCGUCGUUUAC